GACGAACGCUGGCGGCGUGCUUAACACAUGCGAGUCGAACGGAAAGGCCCUGCUUUUGUGGGGUGCUCGAGUGGCGAACGGGUGAGUAACACGUGAGUAACCUGCCCUUGACUUUGGGAUAACUUCAGGAAACUGGGGCUAAUACCGGAUAGGAGCUCCUGCUGCAUGGUGGGGGUUGGAAAGUUUCGGCGGUUGGGGAUGGACUCGCGGCUUAUCAGCUUGUUGGUGGGGUAGUGGCUUACCAAGGCUUUGACGGGUAGCCGGCCUGAGAGGGUGACCGGCCACAUUGGGACUGAGAUACGGCCCAGACUGCUACGGGAGGCAUCAGUGGGGAAUAUUGCACAAUGGGCGGAAGCCUGAUGCAGCAACGCCGCGUGCGGGAUGACGGCCUUCGGGUUGUAAACCGCUUUCGCCUGUGACGAAGCGUGAGUGACGGUAAUGGGUAAAGAAGCACCGGCUAACUACGUG
rnacentral:rRNA from 1 species